rnacentral:lncRNA from 1 species
AGAAGAAGAGGAAGAAAUUAACAGUGACUCCAUCGACGGCGAACAAGUAUCUGUGAAGAAGAUGAAGACGAAGGGUAGAAUUAUAUGUAUGAUUAAUUUGCAUUUUGCACCUUGAAGCAUAUACAUUUGCUUUUAUUUGCAUCUUUUAAAAAAAAUAUAAAAUAAAUGAAUGUUUAACAUGUUUUAUUGUGAAAUUUGAAAAUAAAAUAAUUUUUUUUAAAAGUAAAAUAAAAUUCAAAAAUUAAAAUUGUGUUUAAUCAUGAGUAUAAAUUAAAGUUGUUUUUUUUUUUUUUGAGUAAUUUGAAGUGAAAAAAUGUAAAAAUACUUUUUUUUUAAUUUCAAAUUCUUGAAAAUUUUAAAAUUCAUAAUUUAAGUAUUAAGUAUUUUUCGGAGUUCAACUUUUAAAAAAAAUAUCAUAUCCGAACACCUCUUUGUAAAGCUAUAAAAAAGUGGUUUAUUUCAAUUAUUUAUGAGGAUAAAUUAUGAUUUCGAGUCAAUAUGAGAACAAAGGUGAAAUUGGAGAGGGUAAAAAUAAAAUAAAAUUAUGAGGGUAAAUUAAGGAAUUAGAAUUAAGAAAAAUAAAAAAUAAAAGCAUUAUUAGAUAAAAGUUUUUUUCGUUACAUUACAUAUAUCAAAGUAUUAAAUAAAAAAAAAGGGAAAAGGGUCAUACACACAUAUUUGCCUCUCUACUUUAGGCAAUAACAUGAGAACGUGACAUUUAAAGCACAAAAAUCUUGUAAAGUCGGAUAAUAUAAAUGAAACUGAAUUUCAUAUAAUAGAAAGUAGAAGCGAUGGAUAUGUGUGUUUGAAUUCAUUCAUGUGUCUAAUAAACUUCAACCAAAAGAGAAACUUGUAAUAGCUAAAUCAAACUUUUUGCCUUAAUCGAUAUAAGUUCUAUAAAAAUUAAGUAGCAUAACUUAUUAUGUCUUUAUAUUACAACUAGUAAAAUUACCUGUGUUUCGAUCGAGAAUUUAAUAUUACGAAAUUUAUAAAAUAACACUUAAAAUCUAUCAGUCAUUAAAACUAAAACACUAUAUUAUCUUAUAUACAAGAUUACGUAUUAACAAACAUUAAUAAUGUAGAGGAAAAUGAAAAUUAUUACAUCUUCUCAUUUAUCCUUAAUAGCAUAAGUAUAAAUUAAUGACUGUAAAAAUACAUACCAGGAUCUGUAACAUAAUCAAUGGUGUCAGUAAGCCACUCAAUCGGAGCAAAGUACACAAAUAUUUAAUUGUGAAGAAGAAGAGGAGGUUCAGAAUUUUCAUUGUUUUAAAAUGAGAAGUACAUACCAGGAUCUGUAACAUAAUCAAUGGUGUCAGUAAGCCACUCAAUCGGAGCAAAGUACACAAAUAUUUAAUUGUGAAGAAGAAGAGGAGGUUCAGAAUUUUCAUUGUUUUAAAAUGAGAAGAAAUUUCUCUAUUUAUAGACAACAAAGGGUAGUGUGAACAAAUGUUUAUUGUGCCUUAUCGGAAAUGUUACAACUAUUUGGAAAAGUUGCAACCUUUCGGAAAUGUCACAAUCUUUCAUAAAAAGUCACAACUUUUCAUAAAAGUCGUAACUCUUCAUUAAAGUUGCAACUUUUCAUGAAAGGGGAAGACUAGUUUUGGGAAUAAAUAAAAAGGAAAUUCUGGUUUGUGGUGGCACCACGUAGGCGGGCCUAAGGCUCUUUUAUAUAUAUAUAUAUGAUAUGAAAACAUAAACUUAUGUCGCCUAGUAUCUUUUUGGAAAGGAUAGAGCCCAAAACAAAAACAAAAAAAAUUAAUUUCUCAUUUGAUGUCUUGUAUUCAUAAUGAAGCCCGAUUAAAAUGUUAAAUAGUAAAACACUCACUAAUAAAGACGAUUCUAUACCAAAAAGAACUCAAACCUAAAAUGAAAAUAUACUUAUCCCUUGACCACAAGGCCCGAAACAAAAUAUAGUACUCCCUCUAUCUCAAUUUAUGUGACUUACUUUCCAUUUUAGUUAGUCCAAAAAAAAAUUGACACAUUUCUAUAUUAAGUAACAAUUUAAUUAUAAAAUAUAUAUUUUACCCUUAAUGAAAUGAUUUACAGUCACACAAUUUUCUAUCAUUUAUUUUGAAUCACAAGUUUUAAAAGUCUUUUUUUUAAUUUUUAAACUCAGUGCUGAAUCAAACAAUCUCAUAUAAAAUGAGACGGAGGAAGUAGUACUUAUUUUAGGACGUGCUCAAUAGACAAUAAACAAACUUGUUAGUUGUUUCUCUUCCGACUCCAAAUUGAGCAAAAGCCGUAUUGUUUCACAAUUAUGUCAAUUUUCUUCCUUUCAUGUCAGCCAAUUCGUUAAGGAAAUUACUCAGCAAGUUUGAGUUCCUCUUCUCCGUACCAUUUGACUUGCCUACUUCUGCCAUUGCCGACCAGCCAUUCCUCCAUUUCAGCUAUCUUUUAAGCUCAUGUCAUUCCCUCCCAGCCCUCAAACAGUUACAUACUCUGGUCUUGACAACUGGUUACCACAAAAACCUCCUAAUAUGCACGAAGAUUGUAUCUUUAGGUUGUUUUUUAUCGCCCACAAUGGACUAUGCACGAAAACUGUUCGACCAAAUGCCUCAAAGAGAUGUCUUUGCUUGGAACACCUUGAUUCGGGGAUAUUCCAAUCUGGGUCCUUGUCAAGAAUCCAUAUUUCUUUAUAAAGAGAUGCAUUUACAGGGAAUUUUACCUGAUAACUAUACAUUCCCUUUUGUACUUCGUUCUUGCUCUGUGUUGUCAGCUUUGAGGGAAGGUAGGGAAAUACAUUGUAACAUAAUUAAACAUGGGUUUGAAUCUGAUGUGUUUGUGCAGAGUUCUUUGAUUACUCUGUAUGCGCAGAGCGGGGAGACUUUGGAUUCGGAGUUGGUGUUUGAUCAAAUGAGAGUGAGGAAUAUAGUUUCUUGGACUGCGAUGAUUGCAGGGUAUGUGCAAAAUGGAAUUCCUGAGAAGGGAUUAGGAGUUUUUCUCAAAAUGGUUGAUUCGGGUACUCUACCUAAUGCUAUUACUUUGGUGAGUGUGCUUCCUGCUUGUGCGCGGUUGGAUUGUUUGGAUUUGGGAAUGUUGAUUCAUGGCUAUAGUAUUAAGUUAGGGGUGGAAACAGAUGUAUCACUAGUUAAUGCUUUGGUUGCAUUCUAUGGGAAGUGUGGACUAGUUGAUGUCGCUUGGUCUUUGUUUGAUCAAAUGAAGGAGCAUAGUGUGGUUUCAUGGAAUGCAAUAAUUGCUGCUUAUGAGCAAAAUGAUGUUGGUUCCUCCCCAAUAAAGCUAUUUCAUAGAAUGCUAGGUCAAGGGGUAGAGUUCGAUUAUAUUACAGUAGUUACUGUUAUUUCAGCUUGUGCCAGGUUGGGGGCACUAGGUACUGGAAAAUGGAUUCAUGAGCUUGUCAAAAGCAAAGGUUUGGAAUGCAAUGUUCCAAUCACAAAUGCACUUAUCGAUAUGUAUGCAAAAUGUGGGAGUAUAGAGUCGGCAAGAGAUGUUUUUGACAGGUUGCCUAGUAGAAGUGUGGUUUCCUGGUCAUCAAUUAUAGGGGCUUGUGCUUCACAUGGUCAUGGGAGAGAAGCUCUUGAGUUGUUUUCAAGGAUGAAAGAAGAAGGAGUCCCACCUAAUAGCUUCACCUUCACUGCUGUAUUGACAGCUUGUCGACAUUCAGGUCUUGUCGAGGAAGGGAGGAGGCACUUUGAGAGCAUGAGAAUGGAAUACUCGAUAGUGCCAGGGGUGGAGCAAUGUGCUUGUAUGGUGGAUCUUCUAGGACGAUCAGGACAACUUCUUGAGGCUUAUGAAUUUAUAGAGAACAUGCCUAUUGAGCCUGAUGCAGAUGUUUGGGGAGCUUUGCUUGGUGCUUGCAGAAUUCAUGGCAAUCUUGAGAUGGCAGAAUAUGUAGCAGAUCGACUAUUUGAUUUCAAUCCCCAGGCAGUUCCUUUCUACAUACUCAUGAAAAAUAUCUAUGCUGAAGCCGGAAGGUGGGAUGAUGUAGCUAGGUUGAAAUUUUUGUUGGAAGAAUUGGAAGUGGAAAAGAUUCCUGGCAAAAGUUCAGUUGAGAUAAAUCGACGGAUUCACACGUUUUUGUCUGGGUCAAGGAUUUCAAACUUCUCAAGAGUUCCACCCCGUGAAUAUGUUCAACUGAAGUAUUAGCAAGCAGCAUUUUAAGUAGGCGUUUGGCCAUAGAUUCCAAAACUUUUUCACUUUAUUUGGAGUUUAUGGAGUUUGAGUUGCUUGGUUAUACUUCUUGCAAAGACUAUUUGGAAUAAUGUUCACGUAUGAAUUUACUUAAAUAUUACUUCAAAAGUGAAAAUUGAGUUUGAAAACAGGCCAAACUUCAAGUUGGAUUUGGUAUUUUUCAUAGCCAAACACUACUGUUCCAAAUAAAGUGAAAGUGUUCCGGAAAAAAGUGAAUAAUUUUAUGGCCAAACGGUUUACUCCUGUUGUUGUUUAAGCAUUAGGUUGUUGUUGUUGAGUACUAUUAUCAAUUACUGUCAAUUGAAGAAUGCUUUUGCAGCUUGGUCAUCCUGGACUUUUGAGCCAGAGACCUUGGCUGUCAAGUACAUCACACCUAUGUCCAAACAAUUAGAAGAAAUUCAAUAGAUUCCCUUUUGAGAGCAAAGUUAUCCUUUCCGAAAGCAACAUAAUUGUACUGCGCUCUCCAACUAUGCUUGUGCAGAUUGGGCAAAUUUGAUGGUUAUCUAUGGAAUAUUAACUUAGGUGGGGAGAAUGUAGAUGAUUGUAAGAUUCAUCAUCUCGAUCUUCCAACUGGCUUCUGUUCACCAGAGUUUGAAUCUCUGAUCGUAAAGUUUUACCCGUUGUGUUAACUAGGUAAGUUCUAUUUUUUGCUGUUUGUUGUAGAUGCAUGGAGGUAGAAUUUGUAUUUGUUGUAAUUUUCGUGAUUUGAAGGGCACAUAUAAGGAAAAUGUGGAGCUUUAACUGGAAGAUUGAAUUUUUUGUGCGGCUUCAUUUUGCUGGAGAUUGAGUCUCCUAUUUAGCUUUUUUAUGUGAAUUGCUGAUUGCUUUAUUAGUUGAAAUUGUGCUUAUAAAGAUGCAUAGAUGGAGAUAGAAUUUGGUUUGUUUUUGUGAUUUUUAUUUUCUUCAAUGGUAAUCUGUUUUAGGAUGUAUGGCCUCCGACUUGACUUUCUGCUUCAUUUCCUCAUCUCAAUCUUCAGAAUGGCUUCCUUUUGUCCGAGAUUGAAUAUUUAAUCGAAUGUUAUCCAUAUUUAUAUUUGUAUUCAAGAGUUCAUAUUUGUAAUUGUUUUUGAUACACAGAGGUAGAAUUUUUGUUAUUUACUGUAAUUUUCAUGAUUGAUUGACUGGCUGCUUAUAAGAAAAUGUGGUUUCGAACAGGUUGCUGUGUUGAAGAAGAAACGAAGAUGCUCAAUCUCAGCUUGAGGCAAAAACAGAAGAGUGAUGAUGCAGCAAAAUGUCUUCAAGAUGAAAUCCACAGAAUUAAGACUCAAAAGAUACUAAUACACUUCCGAAUAUAAAAGAAAAUUUCUUUCUUUUUUUCGGAAACUGGUAAGGUCGUAUUCCUCAGAACAGGGCGGGAUUGAUUGAUCUACAUAAAAAAUUCUGGCUUCCCUUCCAGGUAUUAGUGCUGGAGACCAUCAAAAAACAAGCAAAUCUACAAGUUCCGUCUCCUCUUUGCACCAAAAGUAAACAGAUAUCAUGCAAUUCUAUUUUACUAUCUGAAUGGAAUUGGACCUAUCUUCAAAGCUUCUGUAAUUCCUCUCCCUCCACACAGUCCACCAGAUGCAAUGUGGAAUUAUUCUCCACCAUCACUUCUGGCUCUUGCUUCCUCUUUUAAUCCAACAACUCAACAAAUCUGCAAUAUGCUUAGGUAUGUCCACUUUGUGUCUGGGAGACAAAAAUAAACAUGACAUAGCUAUGCAGAGAAUCUGCAGUGCUAAAAAGGGUGACUAUUGGUCUCUUCAUCUUUCCCACAUA